AUGUCAGAUGUAGAUAUGUGGGCCACAUAAGUAUUGCCGAUCUUGACCCACAUUUAAAAUCCAUUUCAAAUAUUUUUGACUAAAAUCCCAAUGUUUUCCCAUACAGAAAGGUAAUAUAUUCACAUAUAUGUGAAACACUGUUAAAUAUAUUGAAAUACAUUUUGAAAAUAUAUUUUUAAAAUGCAUAACAUAAAGCUCAUAUUGUGUGUUUAAUUGUGUUUGCAUGUGAAAUUAUAUUCAUGCCCCAUAUGAUAUUAUAUUAUAUGUUAUAUUAUAGAAUAGUAUAUCCUGUUGUUUUAUUUAGCCUAUAUAACUGACUUCAAACAAUGUUUUGCAUUCACUGCUUUCAUAUUCUCAUUCAAUUUACAGUUUGAUGUAGGCCUACUAAACAAUACAUGAUGAAAUUUCAGGACAUGUUAUUUGACUUUUGUACUAUUUAUGUAAAUGCGUAACUUUUAUGUGUUUUAGGCCAUGUUGGCCAAUCAGAAGCCUGACAAAGUUUCAAGUAGGCGGAGAUAACAGCGCAGGCUCCAACGUCACAAGCCAAAAACUCCGGUUUAGCUGUCUACAUGAUAACACUGCAGCCAGAGUUUUUUUAAAUCUUCACCCUGGCAGGAGUUUUCAAAAUGUUCGGUUUCAGUGACCUGCUGCAGUGUUUGCGUGAGGACGAACGGAACAAACCGCAUAGAAAAAGCUGCUGUUUUGAAAAUAACCGCGUUCGUGUGGACGGCCAAUGAGCGCGCGCGUUGAGCAUUCAAAUCACAUUUAAACUGAAGCGGUGGAGGUUACCAUGGUAACAGGGCGUCAACUCACUCAGCUGACAAGUAGCGAGAAGCUGUCUCUCUGCUCUUUUCACUGCUUUCAGGUAAGUUUAGUCCCUAAAGUUACACAAAUAAUACAUACAACUGUUCCUGACACUUUCUUACAUGUUACUGACACGUUUCUGUUGAAUCUUUACUUUACAGGAAUGGUAUAGUGUCUUCAAAAUGUCCGUUAGCAUCACAACCGUUAACUAUAGAGGCUAACAAUUAGAGGAGCGUCAGAAUAAAAUACCUAAAACAGGGGAAGUUACAAAAAAAUUUGUAAUGUGACCUGCUGACAGAGAUACAGGAAACACAGAGCUGGAGCGGAGCAGAUCUCCUGUCGAAGAACAUCUCCAAAGCACCAUGAACCAUCUGACUAGGCAGUUCGUGAAGACGGAUAACCUGGACAGAAGUCAGUUCAAGAUCCAGCCUCCACACUAGACUUCUCACUCACAAGGAUUGCUGUCUACUAGAUAUUAUGUGUACUCUUCAGACUUAGGUUCAUGCAGAUAUUAUUCAGGGACAUGAACACUUGAAUACUGCAAAAAUAGAGAAACUACCUUAUUUAAGAAUUUUGUGUUAAUUGUGUGAACAUUAAACAAAUAUAUAUUUAUUUUACUGUUUUUUUGUUUUGUAUUCCAAAGCACCUAAAAGCCAAUUCACACUGCCAUACUCCAACAGGGUGAACACACUGACCAAGCAAAACAAUUAAGCAUGUUUUUAUAGUUUUUGUGAAAGUGUGAACUGACAAUGCUGUAUGUUAGG